ACACCGGAUAUUAGCAGUAAUUCUGAUAGUAUGGAGUCAUCUGGCCAGUGGACAAGGACAAGGAAAAGAUCUUUUCAAAUCUAUUUUUCCACAGAGUUGCCAGUGUACAAUGAUAGAUAUUUUCUAUAAUUUUCUGGAUGGAUAUCAAUUCCAGUGAAUGAGACUACAAGCCGAUGGUCAACUUUACAUUUACACUGCAGCCUUACUUUGCUUGAAAGGACUCUUACAUCUCUGAUUAUAGAAGACGUUUGAUAUUCAUCAGGAAGUAUUUCCUCAGAAUAUAUAAAUGGGAUGUGUGUGUCUGUUUAURUGUGUAUAUAUAUACAUAUAGGUACAUAUUUGUCCUCCUGAGCUGUGAAAUCAAGGGCACUACAAGGUACAAGGGCAGAUUGUCUUUUAGUCCAUCACUGCAGGCCCAGUAAAGUGGCAGUCUAGUACUGCGGCAAGGCAAGAGAGAACUAAAUUCUGCUGUUUAUCUCCUUGAAUAUCUAGAUAGUCUCACUGUCAUCCCAUUAGAAGCAGAAGAUGAAUGUUAAUUUUAUAUAUUUUGGAGUACUUGUUUUAGGGUGGAUUUUAUCAGUCUGGUAUUCAGACCCUCAGAUUUAUGGGGCACAGUGCCUCUAAAACCUCAACAAGUAAAUGCUAUUUCAAGUACUGACAUUUCUGAAGGCAACAAAGUCUGUUUGCUUGGUGGCAGUCUGUAUGUGCAUUGUUUUAUGAGGAUGUUAUUAUUUCAGGUAAAGCAACUUCAGUUAGCUCUGCAAUUUUGAUCUUGACUUGCUGUGCUAUUAAAAUCUGUAUAUUAAUCCUAGUGGGCUAGUCUUCACUUGCAUUUUACCAGAGCUUGUGUUUGUCAGGCUUACUGUAUUAUGCUCAACUUUGUUUAGAAUCUGUAGGAGUUGAUUACGGGUGAAACAAUCAUCCUCACCUGAGCUGUGGACUAUUGCUCUUUUCCGUCCUGAUCAGACCUGCAUCUGCUCCCCUCUCCCUGUGAGCGAGCAUGCAAGCUGUUGUUUAGUGAAACCAAUUGGUUUUAUUGGAUAUUGCCUUUAAACUUGAUAUGUCAUACUUAAAAAAAAAAAAUUGCAUAAUUCUGAUCUUCACCUGUGUACCUUUUUUACA